UUAGGAAUCUUGGGCAAUGGGGGAAACCCUGACCCAGCAACGCCGCGUGGGUGACGAAGGCCUUCGGGUCGUAAAGCCCUUUUCCCAGGGAAGAUAAUGACGGUACCUGGGGAAUAAGCCCCGGCUAACUACGUGCCAGCAGCCUCGGUAAUACGUAGGGGGCGAGCGUUGUCCGGAUUUAUUGGGCGUAAAACGCUUGUAGGCGGCCACGCCGCGUCGGACGUGAAAUCUCCCGGCUUAACUGGGAGGGGUCGUGCGAUACGGGCGGGCUCGAGGCAGGUAGGGGGAAGCGGAAUUCCCGGUGUAGUGGUGGAAUGCGUAGAUAUCGGGAGGAACACCAGUGGCGAAGGCGGCUUCCUGGACCUGAUCUGACGCUGAGGAGCGAAAGCGUGGGGAGCGAUCCG
rnacentral:rRNA from 1 species